rnacentral:rRNA from 1 species
CCUACGGGCGGCAGCAGUGAGGAAUAUUGGACAAUGGACGAGAGUCUGAACCAGCCAAGUAGCGUGAAGGAUGACUGCUCUAUGGGUUGUAAACUUCUUCUACAUGGGAAUAAAAUGUUCCACGUGUGGGAUUUUGUAUGUACCAUAUGAAUAAGGAUCGGCUAACUCCGUGCCAGCAGCCGCGGUAAUACGGAGGAUCCGAGCGUUAUCCGGAUUUAUUGGGUUUAAAGGGAGCGUAGGUGGAUUGUUAAGUCAGUUGUGAAAGUUUGCGGCUCAACCGUAAAAUUGCAGUUGAAACUGGCAGUCUGGAGUACAGUAGAGGUGAGCGGAAUUCGUGGUGUAGCGGUGAAAUGCUUAGAUAUCACGAAGAACUCCGAUUGCGAAGGCAGUUCACUGGACUGCAACUGACACUGAGGCUCGAAAGUGUGGGUAUCAAACAGGAUUAGAUACCCUUGUAGUC